AGUGAACGCUGGCGGUAGGCCUAACACAUGCAAGUCGAACGGCAGCACAGUAAGAGCUUGCUCUUACGGGUGGCGAGUGGCGGACGGGUGAGGAAUACAUCGGAAUCUACUUUUUCGUGGGGGAUAACGUAGGGAAACUUACGCUAAUACCGCAUACGACCUACGGGUGAAAGCAGGGGAUCUUCGGACCUUGCGCGACUGAAUGAGCCGAUGUCGGAUUAGCUAGUUGGCGGGGUAAAGGCCCACCAAGGCGACGAUCCGUAGCUGGUCUGAGAGGAUGAUCAGCCACACUGGAACUGAGACACGGUCCAGACUCCUACGGGAGGCAGCAGUGGGGAAUAUUGGACAAUGGGCGCAAGCCUGAUCCAGCCAUACCGCGUGGGUGAAGAAGGCCUUCGGGUUGUAAAGCCCUUUUGUUGGGAAAGAAAAGCAGCAGGUGAAUACCCCGCUGUUCUGACGGUACCCAAAGAAUAAGCACCGGCUAACUUCGUG
rnacentral:rRNA from 1 species